UACGAAGGGGGCGAGCGUUGUUCGGAAUUACUGGGCGUAAAGGGCGCGCAGGCGGCUCUGAAAGUCAGAUGUGAAAGCCCCGGGCUUAACCUGGGAAUUGCAUUUGAUACUCUGGAGCUUGAGUGUGGGAGAGGAGAGUGGAAUUCCCAGUGUAGAGGUGAAAUUCGUAGAUAUUGGGAAGAACACCAGAGGCGAAGGCGGUUACCUGGACAGUUACUGACGCUCAGGCACGAAAGCAUGGGGAGCAAAAGGG
rnacentral:rRNA from 1 species